rnacentral:rRNA from 1 species
UAAUAGGAAUGUAAGAGCAUAUGGUGGAUGCCUUGACUCUAAAAGGCGAUGAAGGACGCAGCGUGGCGGCGAUACGCUUCGGGGAGAUGCCAAGCAAUCUUUGAUCCGGAGAUGUCCGAAUGGGGAAACCCAAUUGAGUAAACCUCAAUUACUCUCAUAACUCAGUUAUGGAGUGCGCACCCAGGGAAUUGAAACAUCUUAGUACCUGGUGGAAAAUAAACUAAAACAAGUAUUCUGGUAGUAGCGGCGAGCGAACCCAGAGAAGCCCAAACCGAGUGUGCUGUAGCAAUACAGUAUGCGAGGGGUUGUAAGGUAGUAAUGCCUCUUUUAAGAAGGAAUGAGUUACAAAACGUAUUGUUAAAAGAAAUUUCUGGAAAGAAAUACCAUAGAGGGUGAUAGUCCCGUAUUUGAAAAUUCUACGUCUCAUCAAUUACUAUUCUUGAGUACCUCAGGACACGAAAAGCCUGAGGGAAUCUACCGGAACUAACCGGAAAGGCUAAAUACUUUUAGAGAUCGAUAGUGAACUAGUACCGUGAGGGAAAGGUGAAAAGUAGUCCGAGAGGACAGUGAAAUAGAUCUGAAACCAUAUGCUUACAAGGAGUCGGAGCGGGCUACAC